rnacentral:rRNA from 1 species
GUCGAGCGAAUGGAUUGAGAGCUUGCUCUCAAGAAGUUAGCGGCGGACGGGUGAGUAACACGUGGGUAACCUGCCCAUAAGACUGGGAUAACUCCGGGAAACCGGGGCUAAUACCGGAUAACAUUUUGAACCGCAUGGUUCGAAAUUGAAAGGCGGCUUCGGCUGUCACUUAUGGAUGGACCCGCGUCGCAUUAGCUAGUUGGUGAGGUAACGGCUCACCAAGGCAACGAUGCGUAGCCGACCUGAGAGGGUGAUCGGCCACACUGGGACUGAGACACGGCCCAGACUCCUACGGGAGGCAGCAGUAGGGAAUCUUCCGCAAUGGACGAAAGUCUGACGGAGCAACGCCGCGUGAGUGAUGAAGGCUUUCGGGUCGUAAAACUCUGUUGUUAGGGAAGAACAAGUGCUAGUUGAAUAAGCUGGCACCUUGACGGUACCUAACCAGAAAGCCACGGCUAACUACGUGCCAGCAGCCGCGGUAAUACGUAGGUGGCAAGCGUUAUCCGGAAUUAUUGGGCGUAAAGCGCGCGCAGGUGGUUUCUUAAGUCUGAUGUGAAAGCCCACGGCUCAACCGUGGAGGGUCAUUGGAAACUGGGAGACUUGAGUGCAGAAGAGGAAAGUGGAAUUCCAUGUGUAGCGGUGAAAUGCGUAGAGAUAUGGAGGAACACCAGUGGCGAAGCGACUUUCUGGUCUGUAACUGACACUGAGGCGCGAAAGCGUGGGGAGCAAACAGGAUUAGAUACC